AAGAUCCUGUCACAUGCUCCAAGAAGCUGCAAAUUUGUGUGAGCCCCCGUGAAGAAACCGUCUAAACCUCAGUAUUUCAGCCUCGGAAUUCUACAACCAUUUCAUCUGCUUUAAGGUGGAGAAAGAUCUAGAUAAUUGGCAAUGAUUUCAUGCAGAUCCCUGAACUUGGGCAGCAGCAACUGUAAACUUCUGUACAUGUGAAGAGAAAAGCUAGUGGCAACCAGCAGGAACUUCACCCCUUUAAUUCCUUCCACUGCUUUGUUGUUGU
rnacentral:lncRNA from 1 species